rnacentral:rRNA from 1 species
AUUGAACGCUGGCGGCAGGCCUAACACAUGCAAGUCGAACGAGUGGCGGACGGGUGAGGAAUGUCUGGGAAACUGCCUGAGGGAGGGGGAUAACUACUGGAAAAGGUAGCUAAUACCGCAUACCAACGGAAGUGCCCAGGUGGGAUUAGCUUGUUGGUGGGGGAACGGCUCACCAGGGCGACGAUCCCUAGCUGGUCUGAGAGGAUGACCAGCCACCCUGGAACUGAGACACGUUCCAGACUCCGACGGGAGGCAGCAGUGGUGAAUAUGGCACAAUGGGCGCAAGCCUGAUGCAGCCAUGCCGCUUGUAUGAAGAAGGCCUGCGGGUUGUAAAGUACUUUCAGCGGGGAGGCGUUACCCGCAGAAGAAGCACCGGCUAACUCCGUGCCAGCAGCCGCGGUAAUUC